CAAAAGUUUGGUCCUAACUUUACUGUCGCCUAAAGCUAGAUUUACACAUGUAAGUAUCCGCACUCCAGUGAGAAUGCCCUUAACUCUCUUAUGAGAUAAAGGAGCAGGUAUCAGGCACGCACUACUGCCCACAACACCUUGCUUAGCCACACCCUCAAGGGAAUUCAACAGUGAUAGACAUUAAGCCAUAAGUGCAAACUUGACUUAGUCAAAGCUUUUUAGGGCCGGUAAAACUCGUGCCAGCCACCGCGGUUAUACGAGAGGCUCAAGCUGACAGAAUUCGGCGUAAAGAGUGGUUAGGAGUAAAAAAAAUUAAAGCUAAACCCCUUCAAAGCCGUUAUACGCAUUCGAAGACCUGAAAUCCCAUUACGAAAGUGGCUUUAAUCCCCUGAACCCACGAAAGCUAUGGAACAAACUGGGAUUAGAUACCCCACUAUGCAUAGCCGUAAACAUUGAUUCAUCUUACCCUUAAUCCGCCCGGGGACUACAAGUAUUAACUUAAAACCCAAAGGACUUGGCGGUGCUUUAGACCCACCUAGAGGAGCCUGUUCUAGAACUGAUAACCCCCGUUAAACCUCACCCUCCCUUGUUAUUCCCGCCUAUAUACCGCCGUCGUCAGCUUACCCUUUGAGGGCAUCAAAGUGAGCAUAAUUGGCACACCCCAAAACGUCAGGUCGAGGUGUAGUACAUGGGAGGGGAAGAAAUGGGCUACAUUCGUCCACCGACGAACAACGAAUGAUCUAUUGAAAUAUAGACCUAAAGGAGGAUUUAGUAGUAAAAGGAAAACAGAGUGUUCCUUUGAAAACAGCUCUGAAGCGCGCACACACCGCCCGUCACUCUCCCCUAGAACUCAAACAGCAUAACUAAUACAAGACUAUCUAAAGGGGAGGCAAGUCGUAACAUGGUAAGUGUACCGGAAGGUGCACUUGGAAUA